UAUAAAUCAUGUGGGCUGAGUGUCUGAAAAACUCGUAAAUCAAAGGUGUUGUCAUCAGCUUCUCUCAGAUUUGCUACGAAACUGGAGUUAAGUAACAGCACUAGAUUA